rnacentral:rRNA from 1 species
GAUGAACGCUGGCGGCGUGCCUAACACAUGCAAGUUGAGUGAUCUUCUUCGGAAGAGAGCGGCGGACGGGUGAGUAACGCGUGGGUAACCUACCCUAUACACACGGAUAACAUACCGAAAGGUAUGCUAAUACGGGAUAAUAUAUUUCAUUCGCAUGUUUGAAAUAUCAAAGCUCCGGCGGUAUAGGAUGGACCCGCGUCUGAUUAGCUAGUUGGUGAGGUAACGGCUCACCAAGGCUACGAUCAGUAGCCGACCUGAGAGGGUGAUCGGCCACAUUGGAACUGAGACACGGUCCAAACUCCUACGGGAGGCAGCAGUGGGGAAUAUUGCACAAUGGGCGAAAGCCUGAUGCAGCAACGCCGCGUGAACGAUGAAGGCCUUCGGGUCGUAAAGUUCUGUCCUCAAGGAAGAUAAUGACGGUACUUGAGGAGGAAGCCCCGGCUAACUACGUGCCAGCCGCCGCGGUAACAC